AGACGUCUACAUUAGAUACCCCGGUAGUCCCAGCCGUAAACAAUGUGCGUUAGGUGUGUCGGUAACCACGUGUUACUGAUGCGCCGAAGAGAAAUCGUGAAACGCACCACCUGGGAAGUACGGUCGCAAGGCUGAAACUUAAAGGAAUUGGCGGGGGAGCACCACAACAGGUGGAGCCUGCGGUUUAAUUGGAUUCAACGCCGGACAUCUCACCGGAUAAGACAGCUGAAUGAUUGUCAAUCUGAAGGUUUUACAUGACUAGCUG
rnacentral:rRNA from 1 species